rnacentral:rRNA from 1 species
UGGAUCCAGACUUUGAUUAUGGCUCAGGACGAACGCUGGCGGCGCGCCUAACACAUGCAAGUCGAACGAGCGAGAGAGAGCUUGCUUUCUCGAGCGAGUGGCGAACGGGUGAGUAACGCGUGAGGAACCUGCCUCAAAGAGGGGGACAACAGUUGGAAACGACUGCUAAUACCGCAUAAGCCCACGACCCGGCAUCGGGAAGAGGGAAAAGGAGCAAUCCGCUUUGAGAUGGCCUCGCGUCCGGUUAGCUAGUUGGUGAGGUAACGGCCCACCAAGGCAACGAUCGGUAGCCGGACUGAGAGGUUGAACGGCCACAUUGGGACUGAGACACGGCCCAGACUCCUACGGGAGGCAGCAGUGGGGAAUAUUGCACAAUGGGGGAAACCCUGAUGCAGCGACGCCGCGUGGAGGAAGAAGGUCUUCGGAUUGUAAACUCCUGUUGUUGAGGAAGAUAAUGACGGUACUCAACAAGGAAGUGACGGCUAACUACGUGCCAGCAGCCGCGGUAAAACGUAGGUCACAAGCGUUGUCCGGAAUUACUGGGUGUAAAGGGAGCGCAGGCGGGAAGACAAGUUGGAAGUGAAAUCCAUGGGCUCAACCCAUGAACUGCUUUCAAAACUGUUUUUCUUGAGUAGUGCAGAGGUAGGCGGAAUUCCCGGUGUAGCGGUGGAAUGCGUAGAUAUCGGGAGGAACACCAGUGGCGAAGGCGGCCUACUGGGCACCAACUGACGCUGAGGCUCGAAAGUGUGGGUAGCAAACAGGAUUAGAUACCCUGGUAGUCCACACCGUAAACGAUGAUUACUAGGUGUUGGAGGAUUGACCCCUUCGGUGCCGCGGUUAA